GUAGGCUUAAGUGGGGAUUCUGGUUCUGGUUCAGAGUGCCGUGCAAUACGUGGCCUGGGUAUGUCUCGGGCUGAGGACCUCAGAGCGGAGCUAUUGAGGGCUGAACAUCUGAAAGCUGAGGCCUUGUGGGAGGAAAACUGUGAUGGGUCUAGAAAGCUGGAUGGGCGGCCAAAGCUCUUCCUACGUCGCUUCUUUUCCUCCAUUGGCCUGAACAGCGUCGGUAGGCUUGUGAAAGGAGGUCGCUCCAGUAGUAUGGAACAGCUCAGUAUACCCACUCCCCCCCGGGCGAGCUCAACAUCACCAAGCCCCACACGGAGACCGCAGCCCACUAUCCGCAUACAGAGGACACCCUCCCUGCAGACGCUGAAUACGGUGCUGCCACUGGCCCAGCUGCGUAAAGCCUCCUCUGUGCAGAGUUUAGAGAGAAGAACAGAGCGUUCAACGAUACUUGGGGAGGUGCAAAUACCAUACGGCCU
rnacentral:lncRNA from 1 species